rnacentral:rRNA from 1 species
CACGUAGGGUGCGAGCGUUGUCCGGAAUUACUGGGCGUAAAGGGCGCGUAGGCGGUCAGCACAAGUCAGUUGUGAAAUCUCCGGGCUUAACUCGGAAAGGUCAACUGAUACUGUGCGACUAGAGUGCAGAAGGGGCAACUGGAAUUCUCGGUGUAGCGGUGAAAUGCGUAGAUAUCGGGAGGAACACCAGUGGCGAAGGCGACUAUCUGGGCUGCAACUGACGCUGAGGCGCGAAGGCUAGGGUAGCAAACAGG